GGAGAAUUGACAUAAAAGAGAGGCUGUUGAAUGUGGAGGAUGGUUUCAGAAGACAUCUAAUGAAGCCUCUGAGCAUGGACCAGUAAGCAUAUCAUUCCACUAAUUUAGGAGGAAAGGCUAUGAAAGCUAUAAAGGCAUCACUGGCGUUGACGUGAAGAAUCAAAGAGACAAUGGACACUGGAUGUGGAGGCUACAAGGAUACUCUCUCUCUUUUUCCUGAAGAUCACCCUUUUUUGAUGAUGAAUCUCUGCAGUGGUUUUACGUUAGCUGUUUGUUAUAAUUUUAAAAGCUUGUGUUCUGUUCCUAUUAGCUUUAAUUUCCUAGACUAUGGAUUCUUGCCCCUCCCUUUACACAAUUUAUGCACAGUAACCCAUACUAUGCCCAUUAUCUGUUAUUUAAAGGACUUUUAAUUGCUCUUGUUUUGAUAUUAGUUUACAUUUAAUUGUGAUUAUUACAUACACUUCCAUUGUGCUAUCUUAUGCUUGGAACUUUGACCCACUAUGAAAAAGAAAAAGAAAAAAAAAACAACAAAAAAGCCAAUCAAAUGCUAACACUACUUUCAGAAUCUGUCAAUUUUGACUAUUUUGGCUAAACGGGAAAUAUAUUUUAAAGGGCUAAUACAUAUAACUCUCUACAAUAAACAUGACUGAGGACAAGGGGUUUAUCUAAUGUCAAAGAUCAAGAAAGUUAGGAAGUAUAAGCCCACACAAGUUAAUAGGUUAAUACAGACAUGAUUGUAUGAAGUUGUAUGGCUUGGGUUCUGCAAGUGAUCUAAUGUUUCCUUCUGGACUUAAUUUAAAAAAAGGGUAGAUUUCCCUAGCUGAGACUUACAAAAGAAAAUAAAACAAAAGCAUAAAAGCAAAAAAAAAAUCAGUUUGUAAUUUUUUAAAAAUGUAUUUAGCUGUGAACUUAAGGACAAAGUAGGCAAGAGCAUUAUCUGCCAGGCAGGUCCUCCAAUUUACCCAUAGAACCAUGAAGACCUCCCCACACACAUGCAUUAAUUUGGAUUGACUGCUUUGGAGACUAAAGCCAAGAUCUUCACAGCUAUUUAGAGGCAUAACUCCCAUUGGUAUAAACAAUGUUAGGUGCCCCAUAUACUACUGGUAAUCUGAGUCUGAAAGCCACCCUAUCUAUAUAUGCAGGCGUAGUUCAGAGAGCAACACAGCCAAUACAUAGUUCCUAGCUGCAGAUCCUCCAAGGUAUUGGGAAACUUAACUCCAAGUCAGUGGUAGUUAGGCUCCAAAAUACCUUUGAGGAUCUGAGCAUUAAACAAUUAGUUAUGGAACUGGAACUAGCCUCUUAGUUCUAUGUCCAAGAUACAGCUAAUUUUUUAAUGUGACAACAAGUAAACUAAAAGUGAAUUUCCAUAUAUAUUCUAGAAAGAGUGCAAACAAAAAUAUUCUCUAAGGGUAUGUCUACACUAGCCCCCUAAUUCAAUCUAG